GACGGGUGAGGAAGCAGAGAGCACAGGGGGCUUGAAGGGCGGUGGAACUGUUCUGUGGGAGACGGUGGUGGUGGGUACAUGUCACACGUUUGCCAUAACACGACCCUGAACCCUAAUACGAUGAACUUUAGAAAUCGAAGUAUCAGUAUUGGCUCAUCCAUUAUAAAAAGGAAAGAUAUAAAAUACACGUAUGGGAGGAUUACGAUCAUAUGAAACAGAAGAAGCUAACACAAACCGAAGGACAGAGGGGGCCGUCUAACCCACAGGAAAGAGGCAUUCCUAAUUCUGAAAGGCCCUAAAACAGGGCUUACCAGGUCACUGCCCGGGUUCAGCAGAGAAGCACCUGUCGGGGCAGGAGGUCAGUGGGAAAGAACAUCUGCUUGCUGGCAUUGUCCGCGUCCCUCACCAGGUGGCGCUGCUUCCUGAUUAGCAAUUUCUUUUGGUGAGAGGCUGGCUGAGACCUCCAUUUACCACGGACCCAGCUGGAGCUGCAA